rnacentral:misc_RNA from 1 species
UCACCAAAACUUGUUAUUUCUCGUUCUUUUCCUAGCAGAUGCGCCGUUGUCUACAGCUCAACUUUCUCAAUGCGCAAAGCUUGAAACCAUUAUUACACAAUAAUUUGAAAUUACUAAACGUGUUAUUUAAUUGUUGUUGAUUUUCUAGGUAAUCAACAAACUAGUUAUUUAGUGAUGUGUUAUAUAAUUUAAGGGGAUAUCGAAAGAGUCUACAAUAUUUUUACACCAGAGAAGAAAAAUUUAAGGGUACCUACCUACUUGAAAAAAUAUUGAAACAUGAAGAUUUAUCAAGAGAGACCUUUGAUGAAAUACACGCAAAAAAUGUAAAAUGGGGAAAAUAGGAUAAUUGAACAACUAAGACAGGAUUAGGAGAAUAUACUACAACCAAUAAUGUCAUUCUAUUAUAGUACCAAGUUAAGUUGAGGAAAAAAUAAAAGAACAGUGUACAAAGGCAGUAUUGAUGAAGGAUGAGGGAAAAAUUACAUAGAGGUGCUAUUGUGUGUUGAGCCAAGACGAAAUAAUGGACAAUGUUGUGGGAUCUGUUAUAAUAAAUCAUCAGUCUCGAUUUUAAAUUGUCCAUUAAUUUUGUCAUUACGAAGAACAUGUGUAUCAAUAUCGUUUAUGGCUACUACCAACUCUGUAAUAUUAAUAAAGAUUAUUUGAAUUA